GGUUAACGCUGGCGGCGUGCCUAACACAUGCAAGUCGAACGGUUCUAAGCGCGAGCUUAGGAUAGUGGCGAACGGGUGAGUAAAAGGUAGGAAUCUACCCCUUGGACGGAGAUAGCUACUGGAAACGGUAGGUAAACUUCGAUAAGCCCGAGAGGGGAAAGUGGUGAGACAGCCGAGGGAUGAGCCUACUCUCCAUCAGGUAGUUGGUGAGAUAAAAGCUUACCAAGCCGAUGACGGAUAACCGGUGUGAGAGCAUGAACGGUCACAAGGGCACUGAGAGACGGGCCCUACUCCUACGGGAGGCAGCAGUGGGGAAUCUUGGACAAUGGGCGAAAGCCUGAUCCAGCGACGCCGCGUGGAGGACGAAGCCCUUCGGGGUGUAAACUCCUUUUCUCAGGGAAAAGGAUGAUGGUACCUGAGGAAUAAGCCCCGGCUAACUACGUGCCAGCAGCCGCGGUAAGGCUACGUAGA
rnacentral:rRNA from 1 species